rnacentral:rRNA from 1 species
UGAGGAAUAUUGGGCAAUGCCCGCAAGGGUGACCCAGCAACGCCGCGUGGAGGAUGAAUGUCGUAAGAUUGUAAACUCCUGUUAGAGGGGAAGAAUAGUACCGGUUGGACCGGUAUAUGACUGUACCCUCAGAGAAAGCCCCGGCUAACUACGUGCCAGCAGCCGCGGUAAUACGUAGGGGGCAAGCGUUGUCCGGAUUUACUGGGUGUAAAGGGCGGGCAGGCGGGAUAAAAAGUCAGUGGUUAAAUCCUACAGCUUAACUGUAGAAAUGCCUUUGAUACUUGUAGUCUUGAGUUCGGGAGAGAGAGACGGAAUUCCAGGUGUAGUUGUGAAAUACGUAUAUAUCUGGAAGAACACCAGUUGCGAAGGCGGUCUCUUGGUCCGACACUGACGCUGAGGCGCGAAAGCGUGGGGAGCAAACA